rnacentral:rRNA from 1 species
UACGUAGGGUGCAAGCGUUGUCCGGAAUUAUUGGGCGUAAAGCGCACGUAGGCGGUUUGUUAUGUCGGAUGUGAAAGCCCUUGGCUCAACUGAGGAAGUGCAUCCGAAACUGGCAAGCUAGAGUAUGUAAGAGGGUCGCGGAAUUCCCGGUGUAGAGGUGAAAUUCGUAGAUAUCGGGAGGAACACCGGUGGCGAAGGCGGCGACCUGGGACAAUACUGACGCUGAGGUGCGAAAGCGUGGGGAGCAAACAGG